rnacentral:rRNA from 1 species
UACAGAGGGUGCGAGCGUUGUCCGGAAUCACUGGGCGUAAAGGGCGUGUAGGCGGGUCAGCACGUCGGUUGCUGAAAUCCCCCGGCUCAACCGGGGAACGGGCACCGAUACGACUGGCCUGGAGGGGAGUAGGGGGACCUGGAACUUCCGGUGGAGCGGUGAAAUGCGUUGAGAUCGGAAGGAACGCCCGUGGCGAAAGCGAGGUCCUGUGCUCCUGCUGACGCUGAGACGCGAAAGCCAGGGGAGCGAACGGG